GGUUGGUCUGAGUGCAGUGGUAUUUACAACUAAUUGAUCACAACCAGUUACAGAUUCUUUUGUCCUGCUUCUCUCCCACUGCUUCACUGGACCAGCCUUAA
rnacentral:Y_RNA from 1 species